GGUUAAGCGACUAAGCGUACACGGUGGAUGCCCUGGCAGUCAGAGGCGAUGAAGGGCGUGCUAAUCUGCGAUAAGCGCCGGUAAGGUGAUAUGAACCGUUAUAACCGGCGAUACCCGAAUGGGGAAACCCAGUGUGACUCGUCACACUAUCAUUAACUGAAUCCAUAGGUUAAUGAGGCGAACCGGGGGAACUGAAACAUCUAAGUACCCCGAGGAAAAGAAAUCAACCGAGAUUCCCCCAGUAGCGGCGAGCGAACGGGGAGGAGCCCAGAGCCUGAAUCAGCAUGUGUGUUAGUGGAAGCGUCUGGAAAGGCGCGCGAUACAGGGUGACAGCCCCGUACACAAAAGCGCAUGUGCUGUGAGCUCGAUGAGUAGGGCGGGACACGUGGUAUCCUGUCUGAAUAUGGGGGGACCAUCCUCCAAGGCUAAAUACUCCUGACUGACCGAUAGUGAACCAGUACCGUGAGGGAAAGGCGAAAAGAACCCCGGCGAGGGGAGUGAAAAAGAACCUGAAACCGUGUACGUACAAGCAGUGGGAGCACAGGUUUACCUGUGUGACUGCGUACCUUUUGUAUAAUGGGUCAGCGACUUAUAUUCUGUAGCAAGGUUAACCGAAUAGGGGAGCCGGAGGGAAACCGAGUCUUAACCGGGCGUUAAGUUGCAGGGUAUAGACCCGAAACCCGGUGAUCUAGCCAUGGGCAGGUUGAAGGUUGGGUAACACUAACUGGAGGACCGAACCGACUAAUGUUGAAAAAUUAGCGGAUGACCUGUGGCUGGGGGUGAAAGGCCAAUCAAACCGGGAGAUAGCUGGUUCUCCCCCGAAAGCUAUUUAGGUAGCGCCUCGUGAAUUCAUCUCCGGGGGUAGAGCACUGUUUCGGCUAGGGGGCCAUCCCGGCUUACCAACCCGAUGCAAACUGCGAAUACCGGAGAAUGUUAUCACGGGAGACACACGGCGGGUGCUAACGUCCGUCGUGAAGAGGGAAACAACCCAGACCGCCAGCUAAGGUCCCAAAGUCAUGGUUAAGUGGGAAACGAUGUGGGAAGGCCCAGACAGCCAGGAUGUUGGCUUAGAAGCAGCCAUCAUUUAAAGAAAGCGUAAUAGCUCACUGGUCGAGUCGGCCUGCGCGGAAGAUGUAACGGGGCUAAACCAUGCACCGAAGCUGCGGCAGCGAACGUAUCACUUAAAGCGAUUCAGCGGGUUACGAUUGACGGAGCGAAGCGACGUCAAAGCGUAUACAAAGUCGAGUCGGUUUAAGGAUACGUUCGUUGGGUAGGGGAGCGUUCUGUAAGCCUGUGAAGGUGUGUCGUGAGGCAUGCUGGAGGUAUCAGAAGUGCGAAUGCUGACAUAAGUAACGAUAAAGCGGGUGAAAAGCCCGCUCGCCGGAAGACCAAGGGUUCCUGUCCAACGUUAAUCGGGGCAGGGUGAGUCGACCCCUAAGGCGAGGCCGAAAGGCGUAGUCGAUGGGAAACGGGUUAAUAUUCCCGUACUUGGUGUUACUGCGAAGGGGGGACGGAGAAGGCUAUGUUGGCCGGGCGACGGUUGUCCCGGUUUAAGCGUGUAGGCUGGUUUUCCAGGCAAAUCCGGAAAAUCAAGGCUGAGGCGUGAUGACGAGGCACUACGGUGCUGAAGCAACAAAUGCCCUGCUUCCAGGAAAAGCCUCUAAGCAUCAGGUAACAUCAAAUCGUACCCCAAACCGACACAGGUGGUCAGGUAGAGAAUACCAAGGCGCUUGAGAGAACUCGGGUGAAGGAACUAGGCAAAAUGGUGCCGUAACUUCGGGAGAAGGCACGCUGACACGUAGGUGAAGUGAUUUACUCAUGGAGCUGAAGUCAGUCGAAGAUACCAGCUGGCUGCAACUGUUUAUUAAAAACACAGCACUGUGCAAACACGAAAGUGGACGUAUACGGUGUGACGCCUGCCCGGUGCCGGAAGGUUAAUUGAUGGGGUCAGCGCAAGCGAAGCUCCUGAUCGAAGCCCCGGUAAACGGCGGCCGUAACUAUAACGGUCCUAAGGUAGCGAAAUUCCUUGUCGGGUAAGUUCCGACCUGCACGAAUGGCGUAAUGAUGGCCAGGCUGUCUCCACCCGAGACUCAGUGAAAUUGAACUCGCUGUGAAGAUGCAGUGUACCCGCGGCAAGACGGAAAGACCCCGUGAACCUUUACUAUAGCUUGACACUGAACAUUGAGCCUUGAUGUGUAGGAUAGGUGGGAGGCUUUGAAGCGUGGACGCCAGUCUGCGUGGAGCCGACCUUGAAAUACCACCCUUUAAUGUUUGAUGUUCUAACGUGGACCCGUGAUCCGGGUUGCGGACAGUGUCUGGUGGGUAGUUUGACUGGGGCGGUCUCCUCCUAAAGAGUAACGGAGGAGCACGAAGGUUGGCUAAUCCUGGUCGGACAUCAGGAGGUUAGUGCAAUGGCAUAAGCCAGCUUGACUGCGAGCGUGACGGCGCGAGCAGGUGCGAAAGCAGGUCAUAGUGAUCCGGUGGUUCUGAAUGGAAGGGCCAUCGCUCAACGGAUAAAAGGUACUCCGGGGAUAACAGGCUGAUACCGCCCAAGAGUUCAUAUCGACGGCGGUGUUUGGCACCUCGAUGUCGGCUCAUCACAUCCUGGGGCUGAAGUAGGUCCCCAAGGGUAUGGCUGUUCGCCAUUUAAAGUGGUACGCGAGCUGGGUUUAGAACGUCGUGAGACAGUUCGGUCCCUAUCUGCCGUGGGCGCUGGAGAACUGAGGGGGGCUGCUCCUAGUACGAGAGGACCGGAGUGGACGCAUCACUGGUGUUCGGGUUGUCAUGCCAAUGGCACUGCCCGGUAGCUAAAUGCGGAAGAGAUAAGUGCUGAAAGCAUCUAAGCACGAAACUUGCCCCGAGAUGAGUUCUCCCUGAGACUUAAAGUCUCCUGAAGGAACGUUGAAGACGACGACGUUGAUAGGCCGGGUGUGUAAGCGCAGCGAUGCGUUGAGCUAACCGGUACUAAUGAACCGUGAGGCUUAACCUU
rnacentral:rRNA from 1 species